rnacentral:rRNA from 1 species
GUGAACCUGCGNAAGGAUCAUUG